GAGAGACUGUACACAGCUAUACUAUACAGAGAGAGAGAGACCGUACACAGCUGUACUGUACAGAGAGACCGCGUACACAGGUAUACUGUACAGAGAGACCGUACACAGCUAUACUGUUCAGAGAGAGAGAGACCGUACACAGCUGUACUGUACAGAGAGAGAGAGACCGUACACAGCUGUACUGUACAGAGAGAGACCGUACACAGGUAUACUGUACAGAGAGAGACCGUACACAGGUAUACUGUACAGAGAGAGACCGUACACAGGUAUACUGUACAGAGAGAGACGACACAGCUAUACUGUACAGAGAGACUGUACACAGCUAUACUGUACAGAGAGAGAGAGACUGUACACAGGUAUACUGUACAGAGAGAGACCGUACACAGCUGUACUGUACAGAGAGAGAGAGAGACCGUACACAGGUAUACUGUACAGAGAGAGACCGUACACAGCUAUACUGUACAGAGGGGGACCGUACACAGCUAUACUGUACAGAGAGAGACCAUACACAGCUAUACUGUACAGAGAGAGAGACCGUACACAGCUAUACUGUACAGAGACCGGGACUGAGGGACCGAGCUGCACUGGAUUGGCGUGACUAUUGAGCAGGGCUGCAAGACCUUCAACUGGACUUUACCACGCCUGUCUCCGAGUCCCUGCACUCAUAGUAUUUUUUAUUUUUAUUUCAGAGCUUGAACUGGACAAUUGUUGGACUGAACUGUCGUGUAAUUUACUGGAGUCGAUCAAUUUUGAAACUGCAAUGUCUCUCCCGAUUUGUUUUUGUUUUUUUUUUGUUUUUAAGGGACUGCUCUAGGGCCGAUCGGAAAGAGCAAGUCUUGCGAGGGUGUUUAGAAAAUGGGAGAAAGUCUUCAUAUUUAAAAAAAAAAAAAUCAGUAUAUGACUGGGGGGCAGGGCUUCUCUGUGCUGGGGGGGCACAGGGUUACCGGGGUCCAGGGUGGGUUGGGGUGAAGUUGUCUGCUGGUGGUGGAACUGCGUUGGGGCAUCUUUGAUCUGCGUUAAAAAAAAAAAAACUUUUAAAAAAACCUUACGCUCUGGCGCUGACUGCGUACGGCCAGCGCCUUCUCCUUGGCUCCAGCGCACUUCCAGUCUUAUCAAUUCCAUUUCAGUUACACGGCCGUCCUCUUCCCUUUCGAGUUCCAGCUUGGAUUGCCAUGGCGAUGUAGCUUGACCAAUCGGAGCGCGGAGAGGGAAAUGGCACUUUUUUUUUUUUUUUUCUUUUCUCCGGGCUGUGGUAGGCCGACGGGGCACCAUGUGAUUGCCGUAUGCCUUCUGAAGCCCGUUUCGUCUAGUAUUCCUUACGUGUUCUUCAAGAUGUAUUUAAGGAGCUGGCUUGGGAAAUUUAGGUCUGGGGAAAAUGUUGUCCUGGGUUACGCUUACAAUCGAAACUUGGUGAAUGACAGUUGCAGUGGACUGCAAGUACAAUAGCACUGCUUCAAAUGUGAGUCAGAUCAGGGCAAUGACUUGAUGUAAUAAAAGAUUUUUCACGGUUUUAAUUUUGGUCGGUCUGUUGUAUAAUGCCUAGUUUUCCCAAGUGUGUUGUUUCUCCGGUCUGUUAUCAAAGAAUUUAACAUACUCAUCAUAAAGCUGAAUUAAUGGGAUGGUGCUGUCUAUCUGAAUUUGCUUUAUCAUUCAGUGAAUGACUGUCAGAAGCAGCCCAUUCUGGCUAAAGGUUAAUCAGCUUUUCCCAUAGUGGGCACCACGACUACAGUAUGAACGAAGUGCCAAUAUGUUUCUUUGGGAUUACCCUCUGAGCUGUAUGUUGCCAUGCGGUAGACGGUUAAGCGCACAUAUCGUCAAUGAUUGAGUUGCCAUUGGUGUUCACCGUUCAAGGAUACAGACUGGUUUCUGACCAAGCUUUCUGAUGACCUCACUAAGGCAUUCGGGUUUAGCUUAUGUGCGGAGUGAAAGUUCUUUCAACUGCAUUUUUUCAAAAUGUGGCAAAUGGCGAGACCAGAAACCAGAGAACUGCGGGGAGUUCCUUCCUUGAAAUCAUUUUGCUUUUAGUUUGCAUUGCCUAGCAACAUCAGGCCUAGCAACAGUAACCAUGGUGAGAGAAGCCUCCUUGUAAAAUUAGUGUAACCUGGCCUUUUUUCUCCCAAAAUUCAGUUCUGAAAUUCAAAUCGUAUAGUCGUUUAAACACGAUGCCUAUUAUGUAUGAGAAAUGGAUCAAAUUUCAGUUUGCUUUGUAUCAUUUCCUUUUUGCCUUUUGUUUUUUGUUUUUUUUUUGUAAUGUUUUCACGUGUAAUGCCAUACAGUAUGUGAAGGUCUCACAUGUAGUAAAUGACUAUUGAAUAUUGAAUUUUCAAGCAAUUCACUGCCAACUUUUCACUAGUCCAAAUCAUGAGUGCGCCAAACUGGGGGAAAUGGAAUUGAUAACAUGCAACUCGCAGUAUUAAUUUCAAGUUUAAAUUCCAAAGCUUGCCGUUCCAAAUGAUGUGUCCCUAGUUCCCACACGGGUCAAACUUGGGACUGACCAAAACAUUUCAGCGCAGAACAGAUCCCGACCCUGGACAGUAUUGUGUUUUCCUGUGUUUUUUUUUUUUCCAGCCCACUGAAACUUGUUUACCCAGACAAAUGCACUGGACCGGACCAAUGUUUUACCAACUUUUUUUUGCCAAACUGCAGCAGUCUUCUAUCUGGGGCAUUUUGUCCUUUUCUUUUUUUAUUUUUAUCAUUUGCUCAUACUUUCUUCCAUUGUGCUGAUCAAAAUGAGGAAGAAAUGGAACUGGAUGGGAGUGGAUAUUUAACUCUGGAAGUUUCUAGGAGUGAACUGAAUUUAAAAAAAAGUGACUGUAAAAAAAAAAAAAAAAAAGAAGAAUCAAGGCAGCUACUUAACAGAAUGACCACUGUAAAACGACAAACUAAAUAAAGACAAUGUGUGUUGUUU